AACGUAGGAGGCAAGCGUUAUCCGGAGUUACUGGGCGUAAAGCGCAUGUAGGCGGUUGGGCAAGUGGCGUGUGAAAGCUCCCGGCUAAACUGGGAGAGGACACGUCAGACUGCCCGGCUAGAGGUCGGUAGAGGGGCGCAGAAUUCGGGGUGUAGCGGUGAAAUGUGUAGAGAUCCCGAGGAAUACCAGUGGUGAAGACGGCGCCCUGGGCCGAACCUGACGCUGAGAUGCGAAAGCGUGGGGAGCGAACGGG
rnacentral:rRNA from 1 species